rnacentral:rRNA from 1 species
AAUAGAUACCCGGGUAGUCCACGCCGUAAACGAUGUCGACUUGGAGGUUGUUCCCUUGAGGAGUGGCUUCCGGAGCUAACGCGUUAAGUCGACCGCCUGGGGAGUACGGCCGCAAGGUUAAAACUCAAAUGAAUUGACGGGGGCCCGCACAAGCGGUGGAGCAUGUGGUUUAAUUCGAUGCAACGCGAAGAACCUUACCUACUCUUGACAUCCAGAGAACUUAGCAGAGAUGCUUUGGUGCCUUCGGGAACUCUGAGACAGGUGCUGCAUGGCUGUCGUCAGCUCGUGUUGUGAAAUGUUGGGUUAAGUCCCGCAACGAGCGCAACCCUUAUCCUUUGUUGCCAGCGGUUCGGCCGGGAACUCAAAGGAGACUGCCAGUGAUAAACUGGAGGAAGGUGGGGAUGACGUCAAGUCAUCAUGGCCCUUACGAGUAGGGCUACACACGUGCUACAAUGGCGCAUACAAAGAGAAAGCGACCUCGCGAGAGCAAGCGGACCUCAUAAAGUGCGUCGUAGUCCGGAUUGGAGU